GGUGGCUCAAUGGUAGAGUGCUUGCCUAGCAUGCAUGAGCCCUGGGUUCAAUUCCUCAGCACCA
rnacentral:tRNA from 1 species